CACCACAGCAGCCAUAAAAAGCGAAAGAAUAAAAACCGGCACAGCCCGUCUGGCAUGUUUGAUUAUGACUUUGAGAUUGAUCUGAAGUUAAACAAAAAACCACGAGCUGACUAUUAGAAGACACAUUAGUGCAGAAGCUUCCAGGCUGUAGAGCCCUGCUUCCCUUCUCUGACCUCACAAAGAUAAACAUCCUUCACCUGAGUUCGUGGCCAUCCACCUCUGCUCUCCCAGACCCAGUGCCUGUGACUUUGAGUAGUUUGUUCUAAAUGUGGUGACAAACAAGUCAUUUCUGUAAGACAUUGGGUCUUACUUUAUGUCAUUUUUAGUAACAGAACUGCAGGAAGAUGAAGACAAUGUUGUAAUCCCAGCAAGUUGCUAACUGUGCGUUUCUCCCUUCUUAGAAUGAAUGUCUCCCCCAAAACUGGCUGGCACCAGCUUCAUCUGUGAUACCCUUCAAGAAAUGUUCUCUGGUUUUGUUUUAUGCUGAAAGUAGAACACAAGUCACAUUUCAGAUGGAGGCUGUAAAUAUCUGGCAUUUUCUUAUAUUGUUUUAUGUUUUCUUGUUUUUCUCUUGUUGUUUUUAUCUUAUUUUCUUUGGGGUUUUUUUGUAAUGCCUUUGUACAGCUCAUACUUUCCUGCUGACAUAUCUGAUCAUCUCUUUCAUGCAGUUGCCAAUAUUCAUAACUGAAAAUAAUCUGGUUUAUCAUAAGUAAAAUGGGAAACUUGCCUCUGUUUUUUGCAAGGGGAGGUAAAGAGUGUUUAGUAAUUACCUAUCUUAAAUCUUUCUGAGUUGGUAGUAGAUUCAUGUUCAAGGAACAGGAAAAAUGGAAAAACAUAAGUUUAAAUCAGUUCUUUUUAAAUAACUUUUUAUUCUUUUGUAUAAAUAAAAUUUCACAGGCUUCAAAUUCUCAUGCUUUACUUUUAAACCCGAGAUUGUUUUUUCACUUAUUUAUUCAUAUCAUGCCUUAUGGAAAUUUCUUUUUCUGUAUUUUCUCUCUUUGCUGGUAUUCACCUGAUUA
rnacentral:lncRNA from 1 species